rfam:Myotis davidii contig98596, whole genome shotgun sequence.
GUGGGCUACGGCGACAUGUGCCCGACCACCGCCGGGGGCAAGAUCGUGGGCAUCCUGUGCGCCAUCGCCGGCGUCCUGACCAUCGCGCUCCCGGUGCCCGUCAUCGAGAGAGAG